GGGCCCGUAGCUCAGGGGUAGAGCGCUCCCUUUGCAAGGGAGAGGCCUCGGGUUCAAAAACGAUAAGGGAAAGAUUUUUAAAGAGACCUCUCGUUUUAUGGAAAUCCCGACGGGUCCA
rnacentral:tRNA from 1 species